rnacentral:rRNA from 1 species
AACGAACGCUGGCGGCAGGCUUAACACAUGCAAGUCGAGCGCCCCGCAAGGGGAGCGGCAGACGGGUGAGUAACGCGUGGGAAUCUACCCAUCUCUACGGAAUAACGCAUGGAAACGUGUGCUAAUACCGUUUACGUCCUUCGGGCGAAAGAUUUAUCGGAGAUGGAUGAGCCCGCGUUGGAUUAGCUAGUUGGUGGGGUAAAGGCCUACCAAGGCGACGAUCCAUAGCUGGUCUGAGAGGAUGAUCAGCCACACUGGGACUGAGACACGGCCCAGACUCCUACGGGAGGCAGCAGUGGGGAAUAUUGGACAAUGGGCGCAAGCCUGAUCCAGCCAUGCCGCGUGAGUGAUGAAGGCCCUAGGGUUGUAAAGCUCUUUCACCGGUGAAGAUAAUGACGGUAACCGGAGAAGAAGCCCCGGCUAACUUCGUGCCAGCCGCCGCAGUAA